rnacentral:tRNA from 1 species
GCUGCGGUGGCGUAAUGGUAGCCGCAAUCGCCUCAAAAGCGAUCGGGAGCAAUCCCGUGUGGGUUCGAGUCCCACCCGCAGCA